UAGGGAAUCUUCCACAAUGGACGCCAGUCUGAUGGAGCAACGCCGCGUGAGUGAAGAAGGUUUUCGGAUCGUAAAGCUCUGUUGUUGGUGAAGAAGGAUAGAGGCAGUAACUGGUCUUUAUUUGACGGUAAUCAACCAGAAAGUCACGGCUAACUACGUGCCAGCAGCCGCGGUAAUACGUAGGUGGCAAGCGUUGUCCGGAUUUAUUGGGCGUAAAGCGAGCGCAGGCGGAAUGAUAAGUCUGAUGUGAAAGCCCACGGCUCAACCGUGGAACUGCAUCGGAAACUGUCAUUCUUGAGUGCAGAAGAGGAGAGUGGAAUUCCAUGUGUAGCGGUGGAAGGCGUAGAUAUAUGGAAGAACACCAGUGGCGAAGGCGGCUCUCUGGUCUGCAACUGACGCUGAGGCUCGAAAGCAUGGGUAGCGAACAGG
rnacentral:rRNA from 1 species